AGCACCAAAGACCCAGAUUUUAACAUCAUUUCCAGGUUGAACAAGAUGAAGCAGAGUAAUAAAUGGGUAGGCUUUACCUGAUUGGGUGAAUUCAGCUUCCUCGAACCCGGGAGAACUUGGUAUCUGAUUAGCGGGGGCAUUUUCUCUAUAUAAGAAGAAGAUGGAGACUCGCUAUGCACCUGAUAUAUUUUGUCGGACAGAUUUCUGUACAUUGCAGUGACAACUGUAUCCAGAUUUCAUCACAGGAAUGAAAGUUUUUCACUCUUUGGAACAGUACCUGCAGCAGGGAGGGGUCAUUCAUUAAGAUGGUCACAGAUUCCAAGACACUGAAGUGACAGGGUUCAAAUUUCAUACAUGU